rnacentral:tRNA from 1 species
UAGAUUAAUAAGCUUUUUAGCUAUUUUAUUGUUAAUAAAAUGGAGAUUUAAGGGAG